rnacentral:rRNA from 1 species
CGUUAUUCGGAAUCACUGGGCUUAAAGGGUGCGUAGGCGGGCACGCGAGUCAGGGGUGAAAUCCCACGGCCCAACCGUGGAAGUGCCUCUGAUACCGCGGGCCUCGAGGGGGAUAGGGGCGUGCGGAACUUCCGGUGGAGCGGUGAAAUGCGUAGAUAUCGGAAGGAACACCGGUGGCGAAAGCGGCGCGCUGGAUCACUACUGACGCUGAGGCACGAAAGCCAGGGGAGCAAACGGG